GACGAACGCUGGCGGCGUGCUUAACACAUGCAAGUCGAACGGAAAGGCCCUGCUUUUGUGGGGUGCUCGAGUGGCGAACGGGUGAGUAACACGUGAGUAACCUGCCCUUGACUUUGGGAUAACUUCAGGAAACUGGGGCUAAUACCGGAUAGGAGCUCCUGCUGCAUGGUGGGGGUUGGAAAGUUUCGGCGGUUGGGGAUGGACUCGCGGCUUAUCAGCUUGUUGGUGGGGUAGUGGCUUACCAAGGCUUUGACGGGUAGCCGGCCUGAGAGGGUGACCGGCCACAUUGGGACUGAGAUACGGCCCAGACUCCUACGGGAGGCAGCAGUGGGGAAUAUUGCACAAUGGGCGGAAGCCUGAUGCAGCAACGCCGCGUGCGGGAUGACGGCCUUCGGGUUGUAAACCGCUUUCGCCUGUGACGAAGCGUGAGUGACGGUAAUGGGUAAAGAAGCACCGGCUAACUACGUGCCAGCAGCCGCGGUGAUACGUAGGGUGCGAGCGUUGUCCGGAUUUAUUGGGCGUAAAGGGCUCGUAGGUGGUUGAUCGCGUCGGAAGUGUAAUCUUGGGGCUUAACCCUGAGCGUGCUUUCGAUACGGGUUGACUUGAGGAAGGUAGGGGAGAAUGGAAUUCCUGGUGGAGCGGUGGAAUGCGCAGAUAUCAGGAGGAACACCAGUGGCGAAGGCGGUUCUCUGGGCCUUUCCUGACGCUGAGGGGCGAAAGCGUGGGGAGCGAACAGGCUUAGAUACCCUGGUAGUCCACGCUGUAAACGGUGGGUACUAGGUGUGGGGUCCAUUCCACGGGUUCCGUGCCGUAGCUAACGCUUUAAGUACCCCGCCUGGGGAGUACGGCCGCAAGGCUAAAACUCAAAGGAAUUGACGGGGCCCCGCACAAGCGGCGGAGCAUGCGGAUUAAUUCGAUGCAACGCGUAGAACCUUACCUGGGUUUGACAUGGAUCGGGAGUGCUCAGAGAUGGGUGUGCCUCUUUUGGGGUCGGUUCACAGGUGGUGCAUGGCUGUCGUCAGCUCGUGUCGUGAGAUGUUGGGUUAAGUCCCGCAACGAGCGCAACCCUUGUUCACUGUUGCCAGCACGUUAUGGUGGGGACUCAGUGGAGACCGCCGGGGUCAACUCGGAGGAAGGUGGGGAUGACGUCAAGACAUCAUGCCCCUUAUGUCCAGGGCUUCACGCAUGCUACAAUGGCUGGUACAGAGAGUGGCGAGCCUGUGAGGGUGAGCGAAUCUCGGAAAGCCGGUCUCAGUUCGGAUUGGGGUCUGCAACUCGACCUCAUGAAGUCGGAGUCGCUAGUAAUCGCAGAUCAGCAACGCUGCGGUGAAUACGUUCCCGGG
rnacentral:rRNA from 1 species